UGGGGAAUAUUGGACAAUGGGCGCAAGCCUGAUCCAGCCAUGCCGCGUGAGUGAUGAAGGCCCUAGGGUUGUAAAGCUCUUUCACCGGUGAAGAUAAUGACGGUAACCGGAGAAGAAGCCCCGGCUAACUUCGUGCCAGCAGCCGCGGUAAUACGAAGGGGGCUAGCGUUGUUCGGAUUUACUGGGCGUAAAGCGCACGUAGGCGGACUUUUAAGUCAGGGGUGAAAUCCCGGGGCUCAACCCCGGAACUGCCUUUGAUACUGGAAGUCUUGAGUAUGGUAGAGGGGAGUGGAAUUCAGAGUGUAGAGGUGAAAUUCGUAGAUAUUCGGAGGAACACCAGUGGCGAAGGCGGCUCACUGGACCAUUACUGACGCUGAGGUGCGAAAGCGUGGGGAGCAAACAGG
rnacentral:rRNA from 1 species